rnacentral:rRNA from 1 species
AGAAGUCGUAAACAAGGUUUCCCGUUAGGUCAACCUGCGGGAAGGAUCAUUAUCGAAUUU